rnacentral:lncRNA from 1 species
GGGGUGCAAGGCCUGCCUCGCUCCACCAGGACCUGGUCCUCGGCUCUAACUAGGGUGGUCUUGUGAGGGGUCGGGGUCAGGACUGUAACGUCCGUAUUGGGGGGACACCAGGCAGCUCUUGAAUGACCUCCGCAGUCCACACAACUCCUGUUGGAAGCCCCGAGGGAAGUUUUUGUAGAUGUAGACAAACUCACUCUAACAACUUAGCUGGAGGAAUUGUGCUGCCUGAUUUUAGGGUUCAUUGUGCAGCCACGGACCUCAGAAGGGAAGACUACAAUAUGGGCUGAUGGAGGUCGCUCCUGCCCACACUCCCGGCGGUGGAGCCUGAGCCAAGAGGAUCUCAAGACCAGAGACAUGAUCUGCCUUAUGUUCCAGACUAUAUUGCCCAGGCUGGUAACAGUCAGAUUUGUGAUCCUCCUGCCUCGGUCUCCAGAGUACUGGGAUCACAGAAAGAGAACCCCUAUGGGGUGUGCUGGCC